rnacentral:rRNA from 1 species
UACGUAGGGGGCAAGCGUUGUCCGGAAUCAUUGGGCGUAAAGAGCGUGUAGGCGGUCCGGUCAGUCGGUUGUGAAAGUCAAGGGCUCAACCCUUGAAUGCCGGCCGAUACUGCCGGGCUAGAGUCCGGAAGAGGUGAGUGGAAUUCCUGGUGUAGCGGUGAAAUGCGCGGAUAUCAGGAGGAACACCAAUGGCGAAGGCAGCUCACUGGGACGGUACUGACGCUGAGACGCGAAAGCGUGGGGAGCAAACAGG